UUUGAACUGACGUAUAGAUAGUGAAAAUUGUUGUAUUCCUUGAAACUGUGAUUGAAUCAGAGUAAAAAAGCUUCGUUUUUUGAGAAUGUUAAUGCAAUCUACGUAUGUUCUCCAUGUAUUUUAAAUUUUUCGUAAUUAUUCUGCAGUGUUUGUUGAGGUUCCUUAAAAAGGAGAACUCAAAGUUAUUAACUGCCUCUUCAGUGUUUCUUCCAAGUCACCCAAUGGUGGUUUCAGUUAUUCAGACUAGGAUGAUGGAGCUUACAAGGGAGCCAGAAGCACCAGACAGGGCAGUGGCUCAAUGGCAUCUCUGGAAGAGCAUAGUGGCAGAAUGGUGGGCUGCACUUGAAGAGGAGAAGAUUAGGAGAUCUCGAUGUCAGCAAUGGUGGAAUGAUGCGACAAAAGAGGGGAGCACAUAGACAACCUUUUGGUGGUUUGAAGUCACUUCAUCAAAGCAUCAGAAUGAGUUUCCAUCAGUGCCUCCUGUAAACUCAGCUUACUCUAUCCAGUUUGAUGCAGUUGAAAAUGAAUCAUAUCAAAGCUCCCUAAAGUACCCUAGCAGACAAAUAAUUUUGGAUUAAUGAAGAUCAUCAAGUAAUGCAAAAAAUAAUUCUGUAAGAGAAUUUUUUGCUGAAAUGUGAACAUGAGUCAUGGUGUUGUGCAUGUCUUUGGUUCAAGGGAGGCUUACCCUUCAAAAGCAGUGUGAACUGAGUUACUUUGAGCAUACUUUCGAGUACUGAAUUGUUUGAAGAUCAAGUAAAAGACAUUGGUUAAUAUAGCUGUUGAUAGUGGAUGUUACAUAUAUUAAAGUCCAAGCUUAAAUAUUCUCAUGGAUUAUCCCAACUUUAAAAAGAUGACUUCAUUGCAAUUUCAUGAUUGGCCUAAGGUACCUUCAUUUAAAAGGAAAAAUAAGAUAACACUUGAAUUUUAUCUUCUUUUUGAAACUAUGCUACCUUUGUUGUGGCAUAUACUACACAAAUGUAAGUUGAUGUAAUGUUCAUGGU